GACGGAGGGGGCUAGCGUUGUUCGGAAUUACUGGGCGUAAAGGGCGCGUAGGCGGCCGAUCAAGUUAGGCGUGAAAUCCCUGGGCUUAACCCAGGAACUGCGUUUAAUACUGAUUGGCUAGAGAUUGGUAGAGGAAAGUGGAAUUCCUAGUGUAGAGGUGAAAUUCGUAGAUAUUAGGAAGAACACCAGAGGCGAAGGCGACUUUCUGGGCCAAUACUGACGCUGAGGCACGAAAGCCAGGGGAGCAAACGGG
rnacentral:rRNA from 1 species